UGGCAGACGGGCGAGUAACACGUGCUUAAUUUGCCUCGGAGCGGGGAACAACGGUUGAAAGGCCGCUAAUUCCCCAUACGAUCCUAGAAAUGAAAAUACUAGGAUGAAAGGUUUACCACUCCGAGAGAAGAGCGCGGCCUAUUAGGUAGUUGGUGAGGUAAUGGCUCACCAAGCCGAUGAUGGGUAGCUGGUCUGAGAGGAUGACCAGCCGCAAUGGGACUGAGACACGGCCCAUACCCCUACGGGGGGCAGCAGUGGGGAAUAUUGGACAAUGGAGGAAACUCUGAUCCAGCGACUCCGCGUGGAGGAUGACGCAUUACGGUGUGUAAACUCCUUUUUUGGAGGAAGACGACUGACGGUACUCCAAGAAUAAGCGACGGCUAACUACGUGCCAGCAGCCGCGGUAAUACGUAGGUCGCAAGCGUUAUCCGGAUUUACUGGGCGUAAAGCGUCCGCAGCCUGUUUUGUAAGUCUAUUUUUAAAUACCGGAGCUCAACUUCGGAAAGGGAAUAGAUACUGCAUUACUAGAGUACUUUAGAGGUAAGUAGAAUUUCCGGUGGAGGGGUGAAAUCCGUUGAUAUCGGAAGGAAUGCCAAAAGCGAAAGCAGCUUACUAUAAUUUUACUGACGGUCCUGGACGACAGUAUGGGUAGCAAACGGGAUUAGAUACCCCGGUAGUCCAUACCGUAAAUUAUGCUCGC
rnacentral:rRNA from 1 species